GGGAUGGAAUGGUGUGUGUGUAGGGGGCCAUUUGAAAUUUUAAAUGGGUGCUGAGGAUGUCACUGAAGUGAUAUUUGAGUCAAGAUCCAAAGGAAAUGAGGAACAAGCUAGUGUGCUAUGGGAGAUGAGGAAACUGAGACUCAAGACCCAAGGCCACGGCACUAGCAGGUGGAACAGCUGGAAUACAAAGCAUCCCACAAAUGAGGCUAAAAAUGAAGAAAGAAUUGGAGGUGGGAAGCAUCUUCUUCAUAAGGAUGAAGCCCUCUCUUUCUCUGAUUCACAUGAUGAGGAACAAGACCAUAAAAAGUCCUAAUUUUUACAUCUGAGAAAUAGGCAGCCACAGAAAGCCUGGCUCCUUUGUAUCUGUCUAGACUCAAAACUCCCAUGGAAGGGCUCAGAUAAGUCUGAGGGUCAGGGGCUUGCCUCUGAACCAAUCAGCUGUUGCUAGGCAAUGGGUUCUAUGAUUGAUCAGGCUUGUGUAGGUGGCUAGCCCUGGACCAUCAACACUGAUCAGGGGGAAGGGGUCACUUCUAUGAUGGCUUCCAUGGUAACCAUAUAGAUGACAAGAGGGAUAGAUAUUAGAAAAGAAGUGCUUCAUAGGUAUUCCCUGAAGAACACAUAGGAUCCAAAAGGGAUGGAGGCGAGAAGAGCUUGAGGGUUUGCCUAGAAAACCACUUUACCAUUUGAAGAUUAUUUCUAUGAGCCAGCAGGAGUGCCAUGUUUGCGUGGAUUGGACACCUGCUUUAUUUUUUCCUUCUAAUUAUGAAUGCUUGUCGUUGUUGUUGCUUAUGUCCCAGUGCUUGUCAUAGCCCUUUACACUUAAUAAGUGGUCAAUCAAGGUUUGUUGUAAUUUUGAUCUGAAUGUUCUCAGUGGGGCUUUUGCAUACUGGAUCUACAGACCUUCAAGAAAAGAGUCCUGGAAGCAUUUUUGACAUAAAGAAAUAAAUCCACAGCCUCCCUCUCCAGGUGACUGCUUUGAUGACAGCACUCAUUUGGAAGUGGAAAUCUUGGCUCUGGCUGCCGCUUGGAGACGCUUCUUCUAAGCUGCAUCCUCAUCUUCACUUUCAUCUUCAUCAAGCAUCGCGUGAUCGCUUCCUGUGAGCCAGGCACUAUGCUUUAGCUCAUUAUCUCAUCUACUUGCUUUAUCCCCUCUUCACAGAAAGAAGAGGGAUCCAGAAGACCGUCUGAGGCUCACUGAAUGCAGUUCCCCUCUUAGAAGACCCAGAAAACAUCACACCACACUCGGAGUGUAGAAAGCAUGUGACGCCAAGGAAUCGAAGCCAGGUGGACAGGCUGAGCAUUGGAUGAAGUGAGAGCAGCCCUUAGGUUGAGCAAGGAGAGCACUGAGGAGCUGUGUUAUGGACAAAGUGAGGUGAGGCGGUUAUCAUCACCCUGCUUGUCACCACCAGGAUCCUGCUGGAGAUUUCCGGCCAAGGAGGGCCCAUGGUAAGGAGACACUCUACAUCAGAUGACAUCUUGGACACAGCUCGAGAUCCUGUGUGAUCGGUGGUUCCCCAGGUCACAGACUGAGUCCGGGCUCAUGUGUCAGGCAGAGGCCCUUAGGGAGGCCAGAGCUUGUCCCCUUCCCAGCUCCUUGGCAGAAACCAGUGCCAAUAAACUACAGGAGGAAUUUCUGCCUUUGAGUCAUGAGCCAACCUAGUGGCUGCUACAGAUCAGCUAAGAGAAUAAGUCACCCAACCUCCUGUGGUUCGCCCCAGAGCUGGCGCCACAGUGGGAGCCGGGCAGAUCUUCCUAGGAGGGCUGGGAGUGCCAGAGAUAACAGCUGAGCUCAGGUGAAAGCCUUCUGGAUGGGGACACCAGGCUUGAGGGGCCGUGAAGAGCUCUUUCAUCUCCAAUCCACCCCGUGCCUUGUCAUCUACCUGCUGAGAGGCCACAGCUUACUGGAAAGAAUCUCCCCGUUGGGUAAAUUCAUGUAAUGUGGGUGGGCAGGGGCCCUCUGUUCUGCUCCACCAGGUGAGAAGAUCCUUCUGGUUGAUUAGCUGUGAAGGAGUUGGCCUGUGGUCAUCCUGCCUUGCAGUCCAGUACUGGGAGGGCUAGUUCCACUCACCACCCACCCUUUGCAAGAGUCCCGUUCUUGUCUUCCCAGACUGAACCCAGUUGAAUUUCCAUGGAUGUGUGAGCAGUUCUACCAUGAAGGUCUCAGGAGAGCGCCUUCAAGCAGCACAGGGAGAAAGAGGGGAGGGCUUGUGGACGUAAGGAAGGGGAAGAGUCUCCUAAUGUUGGCUUUUGGGAAACGUCCCGCCAGAUUCCCUACUUCCUGCCUUUCAAUCUUUUUGGUACCCCCUACCCCUUCCCCAGUCCCUCUUCAAGUUGCUCUCUUUCCUCUGAUCCUCAGCUCCUCCCACAGGGAUGCCCCUCCCGACAGAAGGUUCUGAGCCCCAGGGAUGCGAACCUUCCUGCAAACGACAGUAGGGUCAGGCUCAGGUGGGAGGUGGGGGUGUGUAAGGCAUCAAAGUGACUGGUGAGGCAAAAUGAUUUAUUGGAAUAUUCAUUUGUUUUUGAGCUUCCUCAAGUCUCUUCUUCCUCCUCCAUUUUAAGCUGAUGGCUUGGCCUUUUUGGGUUUCUUGCUUUACGGAUUCCUGUCCACAGAAGCAGCCUGCAGCCCACAGCUCGUCUGCACCUUGUGAAGAGAUACUGACAUUGAACCUGAAGUACUGGGUUGAAUGCGGAGGAUUCAGUGGUGAACAAAGCCGGCCCCUGGCCCCACGGACCCUAUAGUCUCACCAGGGAGACAUAUAUUCAUCAAAUAAUUCUACAAAUAUUUAUAUAUACAUAUGUACACCUGGAUAAAGACUGAAAGGAAAACAGAUGCCGCUAUGAGGGUGAGUAGUAAUAGAUCUGAUACAGUCUGGAGCGGGGUUGGAAGUGGAGGGGGGUCAGGAAAAACAGAGUGAUGUUUGAGUUGAACUUUCAAGUCUAGCUGAGGUGUGUGUGUUUGUAUGUGUGAAUGUGUGUGCAAAAGUGAGCAUGCCUGUAUAUGUAUGUACAUGUAUAUGCAUGCAUGGAGUAUUUCACUGAGAGGGAAGAACUUUCUAGAAGGCCUUGGGGUGGGGGAAAGAGCGCAGUGCCUUUAAGGAACUGAAAGAAGUCUGUGUGGUUGCUGGAGGUGAGGCCAGGAAGGGGGAAGCAGCAAGGUCCCCUGAGGCCUUCGAGACUGGAUUGGGCGGUUUGGCCAUUGUCUUAAGAG